AUCGGUUCUUGUGGCGAGAAACUGCAUAGGGUAGUUUGUAUUGCUGACAGUUGAUAUCUUUGAAGGAGACUUGGAGCGGCAACACAAAAGUAUCCCUGCUUCGGCUGGGCCAACCUGUGGAUAAUGUUUGAAGUCAGUGGAGGCUUUAAGUUUU